rnacentral:pre_miRNA from 1 species
ACAAUAUUUGGACCGUCAGUCUACCGAGAAAUUACACCCGCUCGGCAGAAGAUCUUCCCUUUGUCGU